AUGCACGCUGGCGGCGUGCCUAAUACAUGCAAGUCGAGCGAACAGACGAGGAGCUUGCUCCUUUGAUGUUAGCGGCGGACGGGUGAGUAACACGUAGGUAACCUACCUAUAAGACUGGGAUAACUUCGGGAAACCGGAGCUAAUACCGGAUAAUAUUUCGAACCGCAUGGUUCGAUAGUGAAAGAUGGCUUUGCUAUCACUUAUAGAUGGACCUGCGCCGUAUUAGCUAGUUGGUAAGGUAACGGCUUACCAAGGCAACGAUACGUAGCCGACCUGAGAGGGUGAUCGGCCACACUGGAACUGAGACACGGUCCAGACUCCUACGGGAGGCAGCAGUAGGGAAUCUUCCGCAAUGGGCGAAAGCCUGACGGAGCAACGCCGCGUGAGUGAUGAAGGUCUUCGGAUCGUAAAACUCUGUUAUUAGGGAAGAACAAACGUGUAAGUAACUGUGCACGUCUUGACGGUACCUAAUCAGAAAGCCACGGCUAACUACGUG
rnacentral:rRNA from 1 species